rnacentral:rRNA from 1 species
UACAGAGGGUGCAAGCGUUAAUCGGAAUUACUGGGCGUAAAGGGCGCGUAGGCGGCACGGCAAGUCAGGAGUGAAAGCCCGGGGCUCAACCCCGGAAUGUCUUUUGAAACUGCCGAGCUAGAGUGCGGAAGAGGCAACUGGAAUUCCCAGUGUAGCGGUGAAAUGCGCAGAUAUCAGGAGGAACACCGGUGGCGAAGGCGGUUCUCUGGGCCUGUACUGACGCUGAGGAACGAAAGCGUGGGGAGCGAACAGG